CGCUAGAAAGCUAAUUACUGGACAAAGCAUUGACCUUUUAAGUCAAAGAUUGGUGACUACCGACCACCUCUAGUGA
rnacentral:tRNA from 2 species